rnacentral:rRNA from 1 species
GAUGAACGCUGGCGGCGUGCCUAAUACAUGCAAGUCGAGCGAACAGAUGAGGAGCUUGCUCCUCUGACGUUAGCGGCGGACGGGUGAGUAACACGUGGAUAACCUACCUAUAAGACUGGGAUAACUUCGGGAAACCGGAGCUAAUACCGGAUAAUAUAUUGAACCGCAUGGUUCAAUAGUGAAAGACGGUUUUGCUGUCACUUGUAGAUGGAUCCGCGCCGCAUUAGCUAGUUGGUAAGGUAAAGGCUUACCAAGGCAACGAUGCGUAGCCGACCUGAGAGGGUGAUCGGCCACACUGGAACUGAGACACGGUCCAGACUCCUACGGGAGGCAGCAGUAGGGAAUCUUCCGCAAUGGGCGAAAGCCUGACGGAGCAACGCCGCGUGAGUGAUGAAGGUCUUCGGAUCGUAAAACUCUGUUAUUAGGGAAGAACAAAUGUGUAAGUAACUAUGCACGUCUUGACGGUACCUAAUCAGAAAGACACGGCUAACUACGUG